CUGGUUGAUCCUGCCAGACCCGACUGCUAUCGGAUUGGGACUAAGCCAUGCGAGUCAACUCCGCAAGGGGUGGCGCACGGCUCAGUAACACGUAGUCAACCUACCCUGGGGACGGGGAUAACCUCGGGAAACUGAGGCUAAACCCCGAUGGGCCAUGGCUCCUGGAAUGGGCUAUGGCUGAAAUCUACAUGGCCCCAGGAUGGGACUGCGGCCGAUCAGGUUGUUGGUGGGGUAAUGGCCCACCAAGCCUAUAACCGGUGCGGGCUCUGAGAGGAGGAGCCCGGAGAUGGGCACUGAGACAAGGGCCCAGGUCCUAUGGGGCGCAGCAGGCGCGAAACCUCCGCAAUGGGCGAAAGCCCGACGGGGUCAGUCCGAGUGGUUCCCGCUGAGGGAACCUUUUGCCAGCUGUAAACAGGCUGGCGAAUAAGGGGUGGGCAAGUUUGGUGUCAGCCGCCGCGGUAAUACCAGCACCCCGAGUGGUCGGGACGAUUAUUGGGCCUAAAGCAUCCGUAGCCGGCCCAGUAAGUCCUCCGUUAAAUCCAACGGCUCAACCGUUGGGCUGCGGGGGAUACUGCUGGGCUAGGGGACGGGAGAGGCGAGGGGUAUUCCCGGGGUAGGGGUAAAAUCCACUGAUCCCGGGAGGACCACCAGUGGCGAAGGCGCCUCGCUAGAACGUGCCCGACGGUGAGGGAUGAAGGCUGGGGGAGCGAACCGGAUUAGAUACCCGGGUAGUCCCAGCCGUAAACGAUGUAGGCUCGGUGUUGGGCUGCCUCAGUGGCAGCCCAGUGCCGCAGGGAAGCCGUUAAGCCUACCGCCUGGGGAGUACGGCCGCAAGGCUGAAACUUAAAGGAAUUGGCGGGGGAGCACCAC
rnacentral:rRNA from 1 species